GCUCCGAUAGUGUAGCCCGGUCAAGCAACACGCACCGAGAGCAUACGAGCCUCUCGAGCUCGGGGCCCGGGUUCAAAUCCCGGUCGGAGCA
rnacentral:tRNA from 1 species